AUGAAUGGUGAAAGAAAAGUACAUUGGAUUGCUUGAGAGAAGAUGUGCUUAGGAAAGAGGAGUGGAGGACUAGGAUUUCGUGACCCCGAGGCCUUCAACCAAGCCGUCCCGGCGAAGCAAGCGUGGCGCAUUCUGCAGGUUCCGACGUCAUUGUGUGCAAGAAUACUCAAGGAAAGGUACUUCCCAGAUCAAUCUCUCAUGACGGCCACUUGCCCAUCGGCAGGUUCUUUCAUUUUCAAGAGCAUCCUCCAUGGCAGAAAUUUACUUCGAGAAGGGCUGGUUUGGAGGAUCGGGGAUGGCUCCAGGGUCAACAUUCACCACGACAAAUGGAUCCCACGUGCGGGGUGUUUGCACCCUCUUGGAAAAACAUACAUGCAGGGCAUAACCAAGGUGGCGGACCUACUGUUACCAGAUGGCAAGAAUUGGGAUGUACAUAAAGUCCAAGAGAUGUUCACACCAACGGAUGCAUGUGAUAUAAGACAAAUUGUAGUAGGCGGGCCGGGAGUUGAGGAUUGUUUGGCGUGGAAUUACACGAAGAGUGGGGUGUUCAUGGUGAGGUCUGCAUAUCACUUAAGGAUGUCAGUGAAAAGAGCGAGGAACGGACAGCCGGGUCACUCUAGCUCUGUUUAG
rnacentral:rRNA from 1 species